rnacentral:rRNA from 1 species
CAUCCCGAACACGACCGUUAAGCCCUCCAGCGCCGAUGGUACUUGAACCGAAGGGUUCUGGGAGAGUAGGACGCCGCCAAGC